AGCUCACACAGGUUGCAAAAGACAGAGAAACACCCAAGUUACCUCAGGGGAUGGACAUUCCCUAAGGAUACACAGAGUUGAUGAAGAAUGGAUGGUCAUGUGGAAGCAUUAUGGGACAGAAAGGGUAUGAUCUCCUGGAGGAAUCCAGCAAUGCCUGUCUGUCCGGAUUCUUCUCGGCCUCUAUGUUGUAGCAUUUCUGCCAGCCAGGUAUGGGACUGGACCCCUCUGGAAUGAGGAUCUUAUUGUGUCCAGAAAUGGUGGGUUCUUGGUUUCACUGACUUCAAGAACGAAGCCACAGACCCUCGCGGUGAGUGUUAUAGCCCUUAAGGUGGCGCUUCUGGAGUCUGUCCUUUCUGAUGUUCAGAUGUGUUCGGAGUUUCUUCCUUCUGGUAGGUUCAUGGUCUUGCUGGCUCAGGAGUGAAGCUGCAGAUCUUCGCAGUAAGUGUUACAACUUAUAAAAGCAGCAUGGACCCAAAAAAGUGAACAGCAGCAAGACUUAUUGCAAAGAGCAAAAGAACAAACCUUCCACAGUCUGGAAAGGGACCCAAGCGGGUUGCCAAUGCUGGUUCGGGCAGCCUGCUUUUAUUCUCUUAUCUGGCCCCACCCACAUCCUGCUGAUUGGUAGAGCCGAGUGGCCUGUUUUGUCAGGGUGCUGAUUGGUGCGUUUACAAUCCUUGCGCUAGAUACAAAGGUUCUCCACGUCCCCAUCAGAUUAGUUAGAUACAGAGUUUGGACACACAGGUUCUCCAAGGCUCCACCAGAGCAACUAGAUACAGAGUGUGGACUGGUGCACUCACAAGCCUUGAGCUAAACACAGGGUGCUGAUUGGUGUAUUUACAAUCCCUGAGCUAGACAUAAAGACUCUCCACAUCCUCACCAGACUCAGGAGCCCAGCUGGCUUCACCUAGUGGACCCCACACUGGGGCUGCAGGUGGAGCUGCCUGCCAGUCCUGUGCCGUGUGCUUGCACUCCUCAGCCCUUGGGUGGUCGAUGGGACUGGGCGUCGUGGAGCAGGGGGUGGUGCUCGUCGGGGAGGCUCGGGCCGCACAGGAGCCCUUUGAGUGGGUGGGAGGCUCAGGCAUGGCGGGCUGCAGGUCCCGAGCCCUGCCCCGCGGGAAGGCAGCUAAGGCUCGGUGAGAAAUCGAGCGCACCGCCGGUGGGCUGGCACUGCUGGGCGACCCAGUACACCCUCUGCAGCCACUGGCCCGGGUGCUAAGUCCCUCAUUGCCCGGGGCCGGCAGGGCUGGCCGGCUGCUCUGAGUGCGGGGCCCUCCAAGCCCACGCCCACCCGGAACUCCCGCUGGCGCCCAAGCGCCGCUCGCAGCCCCGGUUCCCGCUCGCACCUCUCCCUCCACACCUCCCUGCAAGCUGAGGGAGUGGGCUCCAGCCUUGGCCAGCCCAGAAAGGGGUUCCCACAGUGCAGUGGUGGGCUGAAGGGCUCGUCAAAUGCCGCCAAAGUGGGAGCCCAGGUAGAGGAGGUGGCAAGAGCAAGCGAGGGCUCUGAGGACUGCCAGCACGCUGUCACCUCUCAUUAUGGCCCACCAUUAGACAAGCGUAGGUCAGACUAUUUAUUUAUGGUCAUGUCUUAGGAAGCAGUAGAAGAAAUAAUUCUAGUUUUUAUGGCUGGCUUUGGGGAACAGGGGUUCUGGUUUCUAUGACCUUAGGGAGGACUAAUUCUGGCUUCUGUGGCUCACUUCAGGAGAGAAUGAGGGGCGAGAGACAGGAGGGGCAGAAGGUCAGAGGGAUCUUGGUUUCGAGGCUGCUUCUGAGUCUUCCCAAUGUCCUUUAGUUCAAAGUAUUCAGCAUGCCAAAGUGCCACACUUUGGGGUAUUGUUUUCUGAGCCCCAGUGUUUUCUUCCUCUCUUCUUCAUUCUUUCUCAAUCUCUUCUUCUUUUUUUAAUUGAGAUGGAGUCUCACUCUAUCACCCAGGCUGGAGUGCAGUGGCGUAAUCUCCGCUCACUGCAACCUCCGCCGCCGUCCGGGUUCAAGUGAUUCUCGUGCCUCAGCCUCCCAAGUAGCUGGGACUACAGGCACAUGCCACCAUGCCUGGCUUUUUUUUUCUAUUUUUAGUAGAGAUGGGGUUUUGCCAUGUUGGCCAGGCUGGUCUCGAAUUCCUGACCCCAGGUGAUCCGCCUGCCUUGGCCUCACGCCUGCUGGGAUUAUAGGCGUGAGCCACUGCAUCCGGCCCCCAAUCUCUUCUCAAUCGCAUUCAUCAAUAUUUUUUUUUCUUCUUUUUUCAUCCCAUCACCUUGGGUCUCUCCUUGUCCGUCUCCCAGUCUUUCUUACUGUCAGCUAGCCCCUUGCUUUUCCCCUUCCUUUCUUUGCAACAGCUUCCUAUCUCAUUUGUUCAGCAUAAUAGAAGUGCAAACCGAUGGCCUACUGCCUGAGUAUCUGCUCUGCAGAAACAUAUAAUUUGCUAAGAGAACGUUUAUCCAAAAUAUUGUCUUCAGGAACUGGGAGCAGUGGCUCAUGCGUGUAACUCCAGCACUUUGGGAGGCCGAGUUGGGAGGAUUGCUUGAGCCCAGGAGUUUGGGACCAGCCUGGGCAACACAGUAGGACCCCGUCUUUAUAAAAAAUACAAAAAUUAGCCAGGCAUGAUGCUACACACCUGUAGUCUGUAGUCAGCUUCUGGGGAGGCUGAGCUGGGAGGACUGCUUGAGCCCAGGAGGUCAAGGCUGUAGAAAACUUUGAUUGUGCUACUGCACUCCAGCUUGGGUGACAGAGCAAGACCCUGGCUCCAAAAAAAAAGAAGAAAAAAAGUCUUCAAUCUCAACAAUUAAGAAUUGGAGAUUUCACAUAAAAAUCCAGAUUUUAUCCUGGGCAACAUGGGCAACACAGUGAGACCCUGUCUUUACAAAAAAUAAUAAAAAUCAGCUGGGUGUGGUGGUUCACACCUACAAUUUAAUUUGAGAGGCUGAGGAGGGAGGAUUGUUUCAGCCCAGGAGUUCCAGGCUGCAGUGUUUUAUGAUAGUGCCAUUGCACUCCAGACUGGGGUGAGACCCGGUCUCUAAACAGAAAUCCCAGUUUUACAGCUUAAAAAAAAAUCAGGCUAUCUGGCAUCAUGCGACCUACACCGAUUGCUAGUAACAGUUGAUGGAGCUGGGCGGUGGCUGCCCCACUCUGUUCACCAGUGCCCACUCCAUGCCUCCUGGCCUCCUUAACACUGAGGGAAAGUGCCAAUUGGCAUUUAUUAUUUAGCUUGAGUAGUUAUUUUUUCCUCUAGCAGACAAAUUUUAGUUUCUACCUAUAUCUUUACUGAAAAAAGGGAAAACAGAGAACAAGAGCCAGGUCUUUCUUAUCCCAAGCCUGCUACCUCAUUUGCAUUUUCUGCUUUGCCCCUGCAGGUGGCUGAAUUUUCAACCUUCGCUAUAGACAAAGGCUCAGGUCUCCCUUCCCAAUUUCUCACCGUGCCUCACUUCUCUUUUACUCUCUCCAUAUAUCCUCGUUUCUCUUUUUGUUCAUAUAAGGUUAAUAUUUAGGCCGGGCACAGUGGCUCACGCCUGUAAUCCCAGCACUUUGGGAGGCCAAAGCGGGUGGAUCACUUGAGGUCAGGAGUUCGAGACCAGCCUGGCCAACAUGGUGAAACACCAUCUCUACUAAAAAUACAAAAAUAUUAGCCAGGCAUGGUGGUGCAUGCCUGUAAUCCUAGCUACUUGGGAGGCUGAGGCAGCAGAAUCACUUGAACCCGGGAGACAGGAGUUGCAGUGAGCCGAGAUGGCAUCACUGCACUCCAGCCUGGGUGACGGAGUGAGACUCCAUCUCAAAAAAAAAAAAAAGUUAAUAUUUAAUGCAUUGAUGUAAAGCUAACUUCAGGACCACUUUUGAAACUUUUUUUCAGACUGUUUUGAAAUCUUCAAUCUUCAGAAAAAGUCUGUGAAAAAUCAUUUUAUUUUCGCACUAGUGUGUGUGUUUGUGUGUGUGUGCACGCACAUAGAUGAGAGUAGUUACUCUGUGAAGGAUCUGUUACUUAUCUUGCUAUUUUUCUUGUUUGACUAACAGCCUAUUUAUAUGGAUAAGAUCUGAGAAUCGGUUACUAGGCCGUAUGAAAGAGGAGUCUUCUUUAGGAUCAUUAUCAGUACAGGCCUGGCAUUCACCUAACCAGUAAUAGAAACCUGAAAAACAGUGGCAUAAAAAAUUGAGAGUUUAAUUUUUCUGCAUUUAGAAUAAAUCUAGAGGUGAGAGCAGGGAUCCUAAUAGCAUAGCAAUAUUGGCAAGAACCUAGUGUAAUUAACCAUGUUUUCUAGUUUCUAUAUUCUGAUACUUCCACAUCGUGGGGUCUUGCUGACCCUGGAGUGACUGCCUCUCCCAGGUUGAGCUAAUUCCUAGAAGCAAAGAACUCGCCUGUCAUAUGUAGAUCAACCAAGCUAGACCCCAUCCUCCCAACCACCACCUUCAUCAGGCUCUGCCACUCCUAGCUGCAAUUCCCCUAGUCAGCCCAGGACCAGUACUAGAGAGCUAGGGACAGCCCCUAUGCCCCAGAGGCUGCUGAAAUUAUUCAAACUAGCCGAGCCUGAACUUGCUUACCUGCCUGCACACUCCUGCCUGUGAAACCACAAUAAAGGCUCUUGCCCACAUUUUCCUUUCACUCCCACUGCCUCCUGACUGACUCAGGUGCUUCCCCAUGGGGCACCCCUGCACGCCAUGCCAUGCCUCAUGCAUGUUUCUAGGGAACUGUGAGUAAAUGUCUUCCUCCAUGAAAGUGAUUCCUGUGUCUGCACGUCUUGCCACACCUGAUUAAAACAAACCCUGGCUACCUUUACAACCCCCAGGUCCAUCCAGCCUUCUGAGCCACCACCCUGACUUGAUCGAGCAUCAGGAAUCUCAUUUCUGGGCGGGGUGCAGUGGCUCACGCCUAUAAUCCCUACACUUUGGGAAGCCAAGGCUGGCAGAUCACUUGAGGUCAGGAGUUUGAGACUAGCCCGGCCAACAUAGUGAAAUCCUGUCUCUACUAAAAAAAAAAAAAAAAAAAAAAAUAGCUGGGUGUAGUGGCAUAUUCCUGUAACUCCAGCUACUUGGGAGGCUGAGGCACGAAAAUCACUUGAACCUGGAGGUGGAGGCUGCAGUGAGCCGAGAAUGUGCCCCUGCACUCCAGCCUGGGUGACAGAGUGAGACUCUGUCUCAAAACAAACAAACAAACAAACAAAAAUAAAAAGAAUCUCAUUUCUGGGUGGUGUGGUGGCUCACACCUAUAAUCCCAGCCCCUUGUGAGGUUAGGAUAGGAAGAUCACUUGAGGCCAGGAGCUUGAGACCAGCCUGGGGAAUGUAGCAAGACUCCGUCUCUACAAAAAUAAAAAAUAAAAAAAAAAUUAGCCAGAUGUAGUGGUAUACACCUGUAGUCCCAGCUACUCAGGAGGCUGUGGCAGGAGGAUCACUUGAGCCCAGGUGUUUGAGGUUACAGUGAGCUAUGAUCGCACCACUGCACUCUAGUGUGGGCAACAGAAGGAGAUGGAGUGAGAGUGUCCCUAAAGAUAAUAAGAAUCUCAUUUCUUAAUUUAUUUUCCUUAACACUUACCAUAUUCUGAAAUACUAUAUAUUUGUUUGCUUAUAAUUUGUUUCCUCUCACUAGACUGUAAGCUCCUUGAAGCCAGAGAUUUUUAUCUGUUUUCUUUAUGGUAAGUUCCUAGAACUGAAAACAGGGCCUGGCAUGUAUUUACUGAAAAAGUGAUUAAGUGCUCUCCAGUUGAUGGCUGGAGUUCAGACCAUCAUGGUUUUGUUUCAGGCUGGAGGAAGUGGGAGAGUAAAAGGCAAAGGGGGCCCAUGCCAGUUGAGUCAGUCCUAGAAAAGAACUUUUCUGAAAGUCCCCUUUACAUGACUUAGGCUAACAUCUCAUUGGCCAGCCCUAUGCCACACCACCACUCCUACCUGCAUGGCAGUUUGAGGCAAAAAAAAAUUUAAAGCAUAGAACUUUGCUAAACAAAAUAAAAUUGGGGUUCUGCUAGAAGAAGGAAGGGACAAUGAACACUGGGUCUCUGCAAGGGGGCUGUUGGCUGCACUCCAAAUGCCCGCAGCAUUAUACACGAAUCAUACAUGGAGCUCUUUUUU
rnacentral:lncRNA from 10 species